rnacentral:rRNA from 1 species
GUGGGGAAUAUUGCACAAUGGGCGAAAGCCUGAUGCAGCAACGCCGCGUGAAGGAAGAAGGUCUUCGGAUCGUAAACUUCUGUCCUUGGGGAAGAUAAUGACGGUACCCUUGGAGGAAGCCCCGGCUAACUACGUGCCAGCAGCCGCGGUAAUACGUAGGGGGCAAGCGUUAUCCGGAAUUAUUGGGCGUAAAGAGUGCGUAGGUGGUAACCUAAGCAGGGGGUGAAAGGCAAAGGCUUAACCAUUGUCAGCCCCCUGAACUGGGCUACUUGAGUGCAGGAGAGGAAAGCGGAAUUCCUAGUGUAGCGGUGAAAUGCGUAGAUAUUAGGAGGAACACCAGUGGCGAAGGCGGCUUUCUGGACUGUUACUGACACUGAGGCACGAAAGUGUGGGGAGCAAACAGGAUUAGAAACCCUAGUAGUCC